UUUAUAUAGUUUAAAUAAAACACUAGAUUGUGAUUCUAGUAACAGAGAAUACUCUUGUAAACCA
rnacentral:tRNA from 1 species